rnacentral:rRNA from 1 species
AUUGAACGCUGGCGGAAUGCUUUACACAUGCAAGUCGAACGGUAGAGGGGGCAACCCCUCGAGAGUGGCGAACGGGUGAGUAAUAUAUCGGAACGUGCCCAGUCGUGGGGGAUAACGUAGCGAAAGUUACGCUAAUACCGCAUACGAUCUAAGGAUGAAAGCGGGGGAUCGCAAGACCUCGCGCGAUUGGCGCGGCCGAUAUCAGAUUAGGUAGUUGGUGGGGUAAAGGCUCACCAAGCCAACGAUCUGUAGAUGGUCUGAGAGGACGACCAGCCACACUGGAACUGAGACACGGUCCAGACUCCUACGGGAGGCAGCAGUGGGGAAUUUUGGACAAUGGACGCAAGUCUGAUCCAGCCAUUCCGCGUGCAGGAUGAAGGCCCUCGGGUUGUAAACUGCUUUUGUACGGAACGAAAAGGUCUCUCUUAAUACGGGGGGCUCAUGACGGUACUGUAAGAAUAAGCACCGGCUAACUACGUGCCAGCCGCCGCGGUAA